rnacentral:lncRNA from 1 species
UAUGAGUUUAAGGGUAAGUAACUCUUUACCAAUUGCAUCUCAUGCAACUCUCAACAUAACUGUUGCCUUUAAAAUACUUAUAACCUUGUGGAUAGCAUAACAAACUAUAAUAUUUUAGUUAAGUCAUACCUUUCAAUCCUAUAUGGUCAUAUAUGAAUAAUACUAUCUUUAUGGAUAGCACAACAAGAUAGCACUACCAAAAUAUGCCAUAAGCAUCACGUAGUCAAUAUCAUAUCAAUUCCUAUAGCAAGCAUUGUGGAUAGCACAACAAACUCACUAUAGUUUUUGACAUACUCUAUUGGCUUAGUAUGAGCUAAGUACCAUUAGCUUCAUCAUAUACCAAGAUAGUAUCAAAUCAGUCUCUACAGUAAGCCUUAUGGAUAGCACAGCAAGCCUAUUAUGAUUCUUGACAUAAUACUGGUUUGGUAUGAAGGAAGGCAAGGAUAGUGUUCUUAACACUUCGUCACUAUGACUUAAUAUAAUUUAAAUGAG